rnacentral:RNase_P_RNA from 1 species
AAUUGAAGGAGGAAAGUCCGGGCAGCGUAGAGAAGCAUACUUCCUAACGGGAAGGAUUCACAGCAAUGUGGAGACAGCAAGUGCAGCAGAAAGCAAACCGCCACGACUUGUCGUGGUAAGGGUGAAACGGUGAGGUAAGAGCUCACCAGCAUGAUUGGUGACAAUUGUGGCUAGGUAAACCUUAUGCGCUGAAAGACCAAGUAUACCAGCAUGUUUUGACUUCGGUCAUCACGAGGAGUUUCUCGCUCUGUUGGAGGGUAGGUUGAUUGAUCCUGACAGUGAUGUUAGGGCUAGAUAAAUGAUAGAAGCCUAUUGGAAGUAAUGAAAAUAGGGACAGAAUCCGGCUUAUAGGUUU